GAUUUCUGACGAAACUGCUAGCUGGCCCGCCACGCAAGUGUGUGAGUGCCGGCUUGGCGUUUGUCAUCCGUUCGAAUGAUAUGCGUGCUGCCCUUCACUGGGUUGGCGCUGCAUGUUUUCGAUCUUUUACUUUGAAAAAAUUAGAGUGUUUCAAGCAGGCUUUAUGCUAUGAAUACAUUAGCAUGGAAUAAUAAUUUAGGACUUCGGUUCUAUUUUGUUGGUUUCUAGGACUGAAGUAAUGAUUGAUAGGGAUAGUUGGGGGUGCUAGUAUUCAGCGGCCAGAGGUGAAAUUCUCGGAUUCGCUGAAGACUAACUUAUGCGAAAGCAUU
rnacentral:rRNA from 3 species